CCCCUCUCAGGGUCGCAUCUAGAGAGUUUUCAGUACUCUAUCGGUCUUGACUACAGGAGGGAGAAUCAAGCUGAGGCAUGUCCAUUCCAUUCCUAGCUUGGGCAGUGGCUAGUGAGUGGAAGGCAAUCUGCUACAAGU